GACGAACGCUGGCGGCGUGCUUAACACAUGCAAGUCGAACGGAAAGGCCCUGCUUGCAGGGUACUCGAGUGGCGAACGGGUGAGUAACACGUGGGUGAUCUGCCCUGCACUUCGGGAUAAGCCUGGGAAACUGGGUCUAAUACCGGAUAGGAGCCAUUUUUAGUGUGAUGGUUGGAAAGUUUUUUCGGUGUAGGAUGAGCUCGCGGCCUAUCAGCUUGUUGGUGGGGUAAUGGCCUACCAAGGCGGCGACGGGUAGCCGGCCUGAGAGGGUGGACGGCCACAUUGGGACUGAGAGACGGCCCAGACUCCUACGGGAGGCAGCAGUGGGGAAGAUUGCACAAUGGGCGCAAGCCUGAUGCAGCGACGCCGCGUGGGGGAUGACGGCCUUCGGGUUGUAAACUCCUUUCGCUAGGGACGAAGCUUUUUGUGACGGUACCUAGAUAAGAAGCACCGGCUAACUACGUG
rnacentral:rRNA from 1 species